ensembl:lncRNA
CACUUAGGACUGAUGGGAGUGAAGCCCUUAAGGGCAAGGACUGCCUCUUCUCCCUCACACUUACCAGCAGCUGGUCUAACUCGGUACUUACAAUGGGAGACACACCCCCCAGAAGUGACCCUGGCUGUCUAAAAUCCUGUCCAGAAGAAAAUUAUUGAGAGAAAGCUGAAAAAGGAAAAGCUGCCCUCCAACAUACCCAGAAUCUUGCUGGAGAUGGAAACGAACAGGGAUGGAAACAUGACAGCAGAAAAAUACAGACCGUUUUGAAGUCUGCCCACCUGGGAGUCAAGCCACAUUGAAAAUCAAUAAGGCAUCAAGGCCGGGAGCACGGAAAGCGGACUGGAUACCUGCUUAGGCCUCCUUUAAAGCAAGGAAACCUUUGAAGUUUCAGACGACCAAUAAAAAUACAGCUGGCAUUUACAGCUUCGACUCCUCCUGCCUCUGCUUUUCACCAAGUACCUCAAGCUGCAGCCACAGUCACUCCAGGCUGGAAUGUUGGCCCAGGACCACAGGGCCCAUGCCGUUGACAAGGCCAGUGGCUCCUGGCAUGCACUGGCUAAGGACUGGUGAUUAACUCUAGGCAUGCUGGCACUUUCCCAGGACAACCCUGGCUGGGGUUCUGCACACCAGAUGCGGUGGCUGAGGUCCCCUUGGAUUACUGUAGUAAGGCCUGUAACACGAGAAGGAUGAACCUGAGGGAAUGACUCCCUUCCACCUUACCUCAGAAGAUGGAGGCAUCCAAACAGCAGGUUUAAGCGAUUAGUGAAAAUGGCAACGGAAGUUAUAAUGAAAGGGCCCUAGAACCCAGCUCCCAGGCCAGCGCUGACGACUUAGGAUGCUGCAGUUGGAGGCCCUUCUCACUUCUCUCAUUUUAGGGAGCUCCGUAACUUCGCUGUCCUUUCAAUAAGCACAUGAUGAGUUCUCAGAGCUCGAGGCUCAUGGUCCAACCCAGGAGACAAAACUGAGAGACAGAAAAUACCCAACAAAAAGACUGAUAAAGGAGUCUUAGAAUGAAUGGAAGAUAGUGUACCAUACAAAGUAUAUGGGCAAUGUCAGGCCUAAUGACCAAGCUGAGUCAAUAAACAGAGAACUAUUAGGAAAUUCAUUAAUCAAGGUCUUGUUUAUACGCCUAUUUGUCAACCAAACUAUUUGUUUGACUUGUGGCCUCCCUGGUUUAUUACGGUCAUUUCUGUCAUCAGCGGAGCCGGGCUGCAGGAAUUUCACACAUUGGCAGGGCCUGCAACUGUCUUCCUCUGUUGUCUUGGUUGCCUCCUCCAAGAACCAGAGCUCUCAUCAGGGGCCGAGAUCUGUCUUCAGUUAACAAAUAGCUGCUCUUUGUAAUCCAAUGGCUCACCGGACCUUAAUGAAUUGAUUUGCUAAUCACUGUUUCCUGUUUCCAGAAGUUGACCUCUGAAGCACCCUCCUGCUCCUAGGGGAAUGUCAUCAGGAAGAAACUGCAGGCUGAAAAGCAACAGCAGGGUUGAGGGGACUAGCAGCUCUCAGAAGAACCUGCGGUCCUGCCCUACCUGGAUGUGGUCUUACAAGGUCUCUCACUACCGCCUCCCUCUACCCCGUUCAUUUCCUUCCUGCCGACUUGGCUCAUGACUGCCCACCCCACCCCCAGCCCAGAGAUCCAGCUCCUCUAGAAAGCCUCCCCGAGACCUUGAAAGCCAGAAAGGAUUUUGUCCCGCCUCGGGCUUUCAAACUGUGUGUGUGUGUUAGUUGCUCAGUUCUGUCCGACUCUUUGUGGUCGUGUGGAAUCCACCAGUCUCCUCUUUCCUUGGAAUUCUCCAGGCAAGAAUCCUGCAGUAGGUAGCCAUUCCCUUCUCCAAGGGAUCUUCCCGACCCAGGGAUUAAACCCAAGUCUCCUGCAUUGCAGGCAGAUGCUUUACCAUCUGAGGAACUAGGAAAACUCUCCAACCACUCAGUCCCAAUGAUUGUCUCUGCUCUGUUCUGUUGGCUCUGUUCCUAUGCAGCUUUGCAAACUGCACUUCAGCUAGUAGCUACUGGGUAAGUUUUUGAGGGCAAGCCAACCUUAAGGGUUUCACAACUUUGCAUCCUUUCUCCUUGGCCCGACUACCCAACACACACACACACACAUAAAACGCGGACCAACAGAGAGUACCCUGCUCUGUUAUGAAAUGUAACUUUCAUUAGGGGUUUUACUUCCCCCUAGACCCUAAGGUACCCCUGUUGAAGGCCCUGCCCACAAGCAAAUAGAAAAUGAUAAUCAACUUGGCAACCACUUCUCUACUUUCAUCUCCUAAGCUGAACUAAUUUCUGGGGUUUCCACCUCCUCUGAGCCAGUGCUUCCUGUUGAGGAAAUAAAUGUCAAAUGAUUUCACCAUUCAGAGUGAUGAUCACAGUGGAUUUCUGGGUAGCAAGCAGGCAGGGGAGGCCCCCUUUAAAAAGUAGACAUCCUUGAUUACUUUGAAGGGAAAAGGGUGAAGGGCUUUGAGGGGAGUGGGACGAAGGGUCAGAUUUCUCCAGAAUGACUCAGAGUAAUACCUCCUCUCAGCAGCCACCCUAUGAAUUCUGACACAUCUCAAAAAACAGGAGUCUGGAAAAAGCAGUCAGAAUCUCUUACCUUCUGCAAAAAGCUACUGUGCACAGUCUGUCCCUUUGUAGUUUGAAGGAUUUUUUUUUUUUUUUUUAAAUCAAACCAUCUUGGAAAAAUCAAAAAGCAGAUGCACCCAUAAUUGAAGUUGGCAAGAGCAACAGAAACCUUGUUAUAGGUGUUACAGGCCCUCAUACCCCAAUUAACCUGGGGGUGCGGGAGUGGAGGGGCUGUGGGUUUCUCUGCACAGACGUCUCGGGGGAGAGGCCCUGGUGGGCAGGAGAUUUAGGUACCCUGAGAUCCUUCUGGAAACUAAGGCCCAGGACCCUCGGCCAGUCCUGAUGUAGAAUCACUCUCCAGCAUUGGGAAAGCCACAUCCAGGGGAGUCCUGGCCCCGGGCUAGUCCUGGAGAAGUGGGGCUGCUAUGCGGCUGCCAGCCCACCCGAGAGAGAGCAGGGAGCACCCACAGCCCCGACCCGGGGCCGAAUUUUACUACCUGCC